GACGAACGCUGGCGGCGUGCUUAACACAUGCAAGUCGAACGGUAAGGCCCCAGCUUGCUGGGGUACACGAGUGGCGAACGGGUGAGUAACACGUGGGUGACCUGUCCCGCACUUCGGGAUAAGCUUGGGAAACUGGGUCUAAUACCGGAUAGGACCGCACCGUGAGGGUGUGGUGGAAAGUUUUUCGGCGUGGGAUGGGCCGGCGGCCUAUCAGCUUGUUGGUGGGGUAAUGGCCUAGCAAGGCGGCGACGGGUAGCCGGCCUGAGAGGGUAGGCGGCCAAGUUAGGACUGGAAUGCGACACAGACUAGAACGGGAGGCGACGGUGGAGUGGGGAACACUAUAGGAGGAGGGCUAAUGCGACGAAGCAGCGUGGGGGGUGAGGGGCUGGGGGUAGGAAAGUACAUUCACCGUAGACGGGAGGUUACUGACGGUAGAUGGAGAAGAAGCACCGGCUAACUACGUG
rnacentral:rRNA from 1 species